rnacentral:rRNA from 1 species
AGAGUUUGAUCAUGGCUCAGAACGUACGCUGGCGGCACGCCUUAUACAUGCAAGUCGAACGCAGUAGCAAUACUGAGUGGCAAACGGGUGAGUAUAAUGUGGGUAUCUGCCUUUUGGUUUGGAAUAACAUGGGGAAACUUAUGCUAAUACCGAAUAAGCCUUCACAGGGAAAGUUUUAUACGCCGAAAGAUGAGCCCGCACUUGAUUAGUUUGUUGGUGAGGUAAUGGCUCACCAAGACUACGAUCAAUAGCUGGUCUGAGAGGACGAUCAGCCACAUUGGGACUGAGACACGGCCCAGACUCCUACGGGAGGCAGCAGUAAGGAAUCUUGCACAAUGGGGGAAACCCUGAUGCAGCGAUGCCGCGUGAGUGAAGAAGGCCCUUGGGUUGUAAAACUCUUUCGUCGGGGAAGAAAAUGACUGUACCCGAAUAAGAAGGUCCGGCUAACUUCGUGCCAGCAGCCGCGGU